ACAGCGUCAAGCUGGUAAGACCCCUCAUAGACGAUGAGGUUGAUAGGUUCGGUGUGGAAGCGCGGCAACGCGUGGAGCUGACGAAUACUAAUCGGUCGAGGACUUAUCCACAA
rnacentral:rRNA from 1 species